AUGCGGCUUAAUUCGACGCAACGCGAAGAACCUUACCAAGGCUUGACAUAUACAGGAAUAUGGCAGAGAUGUCAUAGCCGCAAGGUCUGUAUACAGGUGGUGCAUGGUUGUCGUCAGCUCGUGUCGUGAGAUGUUGGGUUAAGUCCCGCAACGAGCGCAACCCUCGUUCUGUGUUGCCAGCAUUUAGUUGGGGACUCACAGGAGACUGCCGGGGUUAACUCGGAGGAAGGUGGGGAUGACGUCAAAUCAUCAUGCUCCUUAUGUCUUGGGCUGCACGCAUGCUACAAUGGCUGGUACAAACGGCUGCAAUACCGCAAGGUGGAGCGAAUCCGAGAAAGCCAGUCUCAGUUCGGAUUGGGGUCUGCAACUCGACCCCAUGAAGUCGGAGUUGCUAGUAAUCGUAGAUCAGCAACGCUACGGUGAAUACGUUCCCGGGGCUUGUACACACCGCCCGUCACAUCACGAAAGUC
rnacentral:rRNA from 1 species